rnacentral:lncRNA from 1 species
UGAAGCGCUGUGGUUGCGGAUUGAAGGUUUUAGAUCUAUAUGUGAAAUUUCCAUUGUGUGGCUUGGGCUAGAACAUUUUUCUCUUUAGUUUAUAUACAAACAAUAGUUGUUGGUUAAAUUGAAGUCCUUAUGUGGACAAAAGGAAGAUGAGGUUUACGUUUGUAGCAUCUCCUCCCAUAACUACCGGCUUAGCCGUAUAAAGCAAACGUGCUAAAUGAUAUUGGAUGAAUAUUUUGCAAAAAUUCGACACACAUUUUUUGCAAGAACGGGUUUUGCUUUGAGAAAAUCUCAAAACCCCGUCAUAAAAUCUAUCUUCGUGAAUUAUUUUUAUUAAUUUGUAUGUUUUCAAACUCAAAGACUAAAUUUUGAUAAAAAAUGAUACUUUCUUUUACUUGAUAAAUCGUAAGACGAGACGACAAUAUAUUCCUAAUUGCAAACCAUAAACAUCACGAAGAGUAUUAUGUAAAUUGUUAUGGCCAACAAAAUCGUGUUCUAGUUGAGUUCUAGGCCCCCUAAUAUUCUUAUUGAUGUUUUGUUUUUAAGUUUAAAAAUUCAAUAAAAAAAUUAAUUGUGUUAGGU